ensembl:lncRNA
GGACAAUCUGACGGGUAGGAUGAAACGUCAGGACACCGGCCGCAGCUCAAGUCGAACGCACCUUAUGUUUCGACAUUUUAAAAGUUAUGAUAAGCUGGUGGACAGAAAUAAAUAGAGACAGUCAGUUUUUAUUAAACACCAAACACACUUUGACUGUCUCGAGCACAUUAGUAAUAUAAACUGGAUGAUGAAAUACUAACGUAAUGUGAAUGUAAACUAGAUAACAACGGAACAGGUGCUUGUUCGGAACUGUAACUCCAUUCGUUGUUCCUACACGGUCAGAUAUUCCUGUUGCACUGUUUGUACCGGUCGAAAACAUCCCACUAAGUAUAUAGCUCACUACAUAAGAUGUAGUAUUCGUUAUUUUAUACUCUAUAUAGUGCGCUUUUGUAUGGAGAAAGGACCCGUUUUUGGAGAGGAUAUUAUCACUGUUUGUGUCCACAGCCAUGGAGCUGAAGUGUGUUUGAAGAUGCUGGUCAGUUGCCUAAUUCAG